AUGAGCUACAGCAAAAAGUUAAGCAGCUCAAAAAGGAAAACACUAGACUUAAAUGAAAACCAAGAUCUUCGAAACUGUAUGGUUGAUGAGAUUCCAGACAUUUUGGAAAAUCUGAAAAAUUGUAAAAUAAAGCUAGGUUUAUCAACGAUGAAGCCAAAAGAGAGUCACCAAGUGUUAUCUGAAAGCCCCACACCAAGUUGUUCUGACUCUGACAAAGAAGCAGCAAAACAGAUAUAACACUCUUGGUCUACAAUAUUACAAAGACAAGGUAUUUCCAGUCACGGGAGUUUAGAUCGACAAACUGUCCUGGAUCUUUGCAGAGGUGCAGCACGAAUACAUCAUAUGUAAGAACCCUGACUGUUGCUGUCUUUGACAUUCCAACAUCACUAAAGAGGAAUCUUCUUGAUGGUGGCAGCAAGAGAGAUCCAGCUUUUGAGAAAGACACCUCUGGAUCGUUUAAAGGUGGAAGCCAUAUAUGGGGCUACCUUGAAAACGUUUUCCUGUACCCCAAAGAGUGUAAUGGCCGUGCAAUUAACAGCAAGAUAAAUGAACUUCGACACGGAAACCAGAGUAAAGAUUUGAAG